rnacentral:rRNA from 1 species
UGGGGAAUUUUGGGCAAUGGGGGAAACCCUGAUCCAGCCAUCCCGCGUGUGCGAUGAAGGCCUUCGGGUUGUAAAGCACUUUUGGCAGGAAAGAAACGUCGCGGGUUAAUACCCCGCGAAACUGACGGUACCUGCAGAAUAAGCACCGGCUAACUACGUGCCAGCAGCCGCGGUAAUACGUAGGGUGCAAGCGUUAAUCGGAAUUACUGGGCGUAAAGCGUGCGCAGGCGGUUCGGAAAGAAAGAUGUGAAAUCCCAGAGCUUAACUUUGGGAACUGCAUUUUUAACUACCGGGCUAGAGUGUGUCAGAGGGAGGUGGAAUUCCGCGUGUAGCAGUGAAAUGCGUAGAUAUGCGGAGGAACACCGAUGGCGAAGGCAGCCUCCUGGGAUAACACUGACGCUCAUGCACGAAAGCGUGGGGAGCAAACAGGAUUAGAUACCCUGGUAGUCCACGCCCUAAACGAUGUCAACUAGCUGUUGGGGCCUUCGGGCCUUGGUAGCGCAGCUAACGCGUGAAGUUGACCGCCUGGGGAGUACGGUCGCAAGAUUAAAACUUAAAGGAAUUGAC